rnacentral:rRNA from 1 species
GAUGAACGCUGGCGGCGUGCCUAAUACAUGCAAGUCGAGCGAACAGACGAGGAGCUUGCUCCUCUGACGUUAGCGGCGGACGGGUGAGUAACACGUGGAUAACCUAUCUAUAAGACUGGGAUAACUUCGGGAAACCGGAGCUAAUACCGGAUAAUAUAUUGAACCGCAUGGUUCAAUAGUGAAAGACGGUUUUGCUGUCACUUAUAGAUGGAUCCGCGCCGCAUUAGCUAGUUGGUAAGGUAACGGCUUACCAAGGCAACGAUGCGUAGCCGACCUGAGAGGGUGAUCGGCCACACUGGAACUGAGACACGGUCCAGACUCCUACGGGGGGCAGCAGUAGGGAAUCUUCCGCAAUGGGCGAAAGCCUGACGGAGCAACGCCGCGUGAGUGAUGAAGGUCUUCGGAUCGUAAAACUCUGUUAUUAGGGAAGAACAAAUGUGUAAGUAACUAUGCACGUCUUGACGGUACCUAAUCAGAAAGCCACGGCUAACUACGUG